GGGGCAGGUCGGGCAAUCGCGGGAUCCCCGAGGAAGGUCCGGACUCCAUAGAGCAAGAUAGCGGCUAACAGCCGUCUGGCAAGGCAUGCGCCGAGCCAAGGAAUAGGGCCACAGAGACGAGACUGCGUCGGGGGCAUAUCUAUUAUAUGCACUGGUACGGCUAUCUCCGUACUGUUUGGUGUGUUUCACACCAUAACGAUGCAGGGUGAAACGCGGUAACCUCUAUCUGGAGCAACAUCAAAUAGGCAUAUGCAGGUGUUCAAAGCACCGAAAGGGCGGCUCGUCCGAAUAUGCGGGUAGAUGGCUUGAGCGUAUGGGUAACCAUACGCCUAGAUGAAUGAUUGCCAGCCUGAUCAGGCUUACAAAAUCCGGCCUAUAGACCUGUCUCACCU
rnacentral:RNase_P_RNA from 1 species